rnacentral:lncRNA from 1 species
GUAGACAAGGAGAAGAAGGAUAAGAAAAAGAAGGACAAACAUAAGGAUGAAAAGGAAACUAAGGAGGGGCGUAAGCGCAAACUAGAGGAAGCCACAGAGAGCCCUGUUGCAGUUCCUGCGAAGAAAAGCAAAGGCGAAGAAGUUGAGCCUGAAGUUGAGAAGUCAGAAAAGAAAAAGAAGAAAAAGGACAAAGAGAAUGGCACCGUGGAUAAUGUUGAAGCUGGUUCACCUGAAGCAGAAAAGUCUGAGAAGAAGAAGAAGAAGAAGAAAAACAAAGACGCUGAGGACAAUGGUACUGUGGCUUCUGCCGGCGCUGGUGAUGGCGAGGCUGAUAAGAGUGAGAAAAAGAAGAAAAAGAAAAAGAGUAAAGCAGAUGCAGA